GCGGAGGGAUGUUGGUCCAGGUGGAACUGUCCUGGACGAUGAUGCCCAGAGCUGCUAAUGCGGUUUGGUGGCAACACCAUCCGGGGUUCAAAUCCCCGAUCCUCCGCA
rnacentral:tRNA from 1 species